GGUGUGCAAAUAAUAAGGUUAACCAUACCCAAAUUACUAACCAAACCAUUUCCAUUUUUUAAAAGCCGAGCCCAUUUUAUAAAAAAACCAACCCAGACCAUAAAACAUAAAAAUGGUAAACCGGUUUACCAUUUCACUUAGUUGGUUUAGAACCGGUUUAUUCUUCUCAAAAUUAAUUUCAAAAGCGAGAAACCAAAUAACACAGUCAGAAACCAAAUCACAAAAUCACAGUUUCAUCAAUCAUCGCAAAUCCUCCUCCUCCGUCAAACCCACUCUCCUCCUCCGUCAAACCCACUCCCACCGGCGAAUCCUCCUCCGUCAAACCCACUCCCACCGGCGAAUCCAUCUCGUCCUCCGUCGCACAACCACUCACCAUCGACGACAAUCCAAUCAGCUUAAAUCGCAAAAUCAGCUUAAUCGCUUGGAUGAAAUAUUAGAGGAAGAAGGGGAUUUAGAUGUCCUAAUUUGGUGGAAGGAUAAUUGUACUCGAUAUCCAGUCCUUGCAAGAAUUGCAAGAGAAGUGUUGGCUAUACCAGUCUCUACGGUUGCCUCUGAAUCUGCCUUUAGUACCGGAGGGAGAGUGCUUGAUGCAUUGAUUUGCACACAAGAUUGGGUUAAAAAAAAAGAUCAUGGCAUUGAGACAUCAUCUUUGGUUUCAUAUGAUGAUCUUAACACUCUACAGCAACUUGAGCAAGAUUUUUUAUCAAAUCUUGGUAGUUCUUCGGCUUCUACGAGGCUCGAUGACGAUUGAAGGUAAUUAUGUCCCAAUAUUAGUAAUUUUUAGGCUAUAAUGAUGGAGUUGAAUGAGUAUGAUGAGUUGAAUUAGGCAGUUAUAAUUAUUAUGACAGAUUAGUUUGCAUAGAUAUUGUCCAGUGAGUUUCAUUGUAAUAAUGCUGCCUAAGUCCUUCUGCAUAAUUGAACUGGUGUAGUCAGUAGUGUACUUAGCUAUUGUCUUGUGAGCUGCAUAAUUGAAAAUUAGUGCUUAAUUCUGGUAUUGUUAUGCCUUGUGUGAGAAACAACUAAACAAAUGGGAGAGAAAGUAAUAUAUAUGCGACCCACACACUAAUUCAUGACAACGCCUAUGAAGAAGUAUAAACUUUUUUUUUAAAAAAAUCAGUUUUAAAAUUAAUUUGAGUAAAAAAAAAGUUUUAAAAUUGGUUUGAAUAAAAAAACCGGUUUAAAAUUGGUUUGAGUAAAAAAAACCGGUUUAAAAUUGGUUCAAGUGAAUAAUCCGAUUUUUAUUACAAACCGGUUAUGAAUUGGUUUCAAACUGGUUAUGAACCAUAUCCAAAUUGGUUUUAUAAAAUAACCGGUUUGUCAUGAAAUGGUUUUGGAUCUAAACCAAAACCAAAAAUUAGGUGUGGUGUGGUGUGGUUUCCAAACCAUGCACACCCCUAAAUUUAAGUCACUAUGAUACUAUGGUUUUACAGUGUUGGUGAUUGGAGCUAAUGUAAUGUAGGUUCUUUUUUGAAUGGGAACCCUAUAAAAGUAUCGUCACAAACUGAAUUGUUGAACUAUCUUCUUGCAACUGAGAAAGAUAAUACAGAGGGUUCGUAAGUUGAUCUUGAAGAAAUGUGCCGCAAAUAUUUAGUAACAUGGCAUUGAGCAAUGUAGAUGACAAGUGCAUAAAUCACAGAGUGGCUGAGGCUGUGGAGAGCUAGGAGGCUCUCAGGAUGCAUUGAUUUGGGUUGUGUCCGCAAAGGAUGUCAUGGUUUGGUUUUCGUUCAUAUCUAUCACUAUUUGCAUUGUGAUAUAUUACUCGCGCUGGUACAACUGACACAAGGAUGUAAACGUUUCUAUUUUUAUAUUUUGCAAGAGUUGUUAUAAUCUAUUGUUGCUUAUUUUUUUGGUCUUAAAUCUAACAAGAAUUGAUGGUAACAUAUUAGGAUGUGAAUAAAUAUAUUGUUACUAAAUUAUUAUUUUGUAGGUUAUUUGUUUUGGAUGGAUGGAUCUAUCUAUGUAUUCUUUGUGGUUUAGAAUCUAAUGAGGUAUACUUUUUAUUUUAA